rnacentral:rRNA from 1 species
UGGAGUGAUUUGUCUGGUUAAUUCCGUUAACGAACGAGACCCCCGCCUGCUAAAUAGUUUUGUCAAUACUUAGUAUUGAUGUUAACUUCUUAGAGGGACUUUCGGUGACUAACCGAAGGAAGUUGGGGGCAAUAACAGGUCUGUGAUGCCCUUAGAUGUCCUGGGCCGCACGCGCGCUACACUGACACACGCAGCGAGUUUUACUCGACCGAAAGGUCUGGUUAAUUUUGUAAAUGUGUGUCGUGAUAGGGAUAGAUUAUUGCAAUUAUUAAUCUUGAACGAGGAAUUCCUAGUAAAUGCGAGUCAUCAGCUCGCGUUGAUUACGUCCCUGCCCUUUGUACACACCGCCCGUCGCACCUACCGAUUGAAUGAUUCGGUGAAAAUCUCGGACUGUGAACGGGAUACCUUUGGUAACCUGAUCGUAGGAAGUUAUUUAAACCUCAUCAUUUAGAGGAAGGUGAAGUCGUAACAAGGUUUCCGUAG